GCGAUGUGUUGAUACAGGGGAGACAGAUGGACAUCUGGGUAUUAGGUGAAGGAGGGGUUGAGGUCAGGACAGCGAUGUGUUGAUACUGGGGAGACAGAUGGACAUCUGGGUAUUAGGUGAAGGAGGGGUUGAGGUCAGGACAGAGAUGUGUUGAUACAUGGGGAGACAGAUGGACAUCUGUGGAUUAGGUGAAGGAGGGGUUGAGGUCAGGAGGUGAGGACAGAGAUGUGUUGAUACAUGGGGAGACAGAUGGACAUCUGUGGAUUAGGUGAAGGAGGGGUUGAGGUCAGGAGGUGAGGACAGAGAUGUGUUGAUACAUGGGGAGACAGAUGGACAUCUGUGGAUUAGGUGAAGGAGGGGUUGAGGUCAGGAGGUGAGGACAGCGAUGUGUUGAUACUGGGGAGACAGAUGGAC
ensembl:lncRNA